rnacentral:rRNA from 1 species
UACGUAGGGUGCGAGCGUUAAUCAGAAUUACUGGGCGUAAAGCGUGCGCAGGCGGUUCGCCAAGUCAGGUGUGAAAUCCCCGGGCUUAACCUGGGAAUUGCGCUUGAAACUAGCGGGCUUGAGUGUGGCAGAGGGGGGUGGAAUUCCACGUGUAGCAGUGAAAUGCGUAGAGAUGUGGAGGAACACCGAUGGCGAAGGCAGCCCCCUGGGUCAAGAUUGACGCUCAUGCACGAAAGCGUGGGGAGCAAACAGG